UACUCAUGGUUGUUUUGUGGUCAUCCUAGGUGGACCCUCAGUACUACUUGGAGGCUUGUGUGAAAGAGACGUGUUCCUGUCAGUUUGAGGGGAAGUUCCUGGGUUUCUGCACUGCUGUGGCAGCCUACGCAGAUGCAUGCAGUAGAAAGGGCACCUGUGUCAAGUGGAGGACACCAGACCUGUGUCCGGUUUACUGCGACUACUACAAUGAAAAGGAUGAGUGCACCUGGCAUUACCGAGCAUGUGGGCCCAGCCCAGAAUUACUGACCUGUGGGAAGCCAUUCAAAUUCUCUGAGAGCCUUGAAGGUUGCUACCCACAAUGUCCCCCGGAUAAGCCAUACUUUGAUGAGAACACAAGAAAAUGUAUGACGACGUGUGAAAAACCUACUACAGCAACACCUACUACAACAACGUCCACAACAACAAAAACGACCACAACAACACCGACUACAACAAGGACCACAACACCUACUACAGCAGAAACAACCCACACAAUAAUACCUUCCACAACAACAGAAACAACCCCAACAAUUUCAACUUCCACAACAACUGAAACGACCUCCACAAUUACAACUUCUACAACAACUGAAACGACCCCAACAAUAACACCUUCCACAACAACAGAAA